rnacentral:rRNA from 1 species
UACGUAGGGUGCGAGCGUUAAUCGGAAUUACUGGGCGUAAAGCGUGCGCAGGCGGUUUUGUAAGCCAGUUGUGAAAACCCCGGGCUUAACCUGGGAAUGGCAUUUGGGACUGCAAGGCUGGAGUUUGGCAGAGGAGACUGGAAUUCCCGGUGUAGCAGUGAAAUGCGUAGAUAUCGGGAGGAAUACCGAUGGCGAAGGCAGGUCUCUGGGCUAUAACUGACGCUCAUGCACGAAAGCGUGGGGAGCAAACAGG